UAAGUUGGUCUUCGCUUUUGCAGAUAACAGUGAGUGGGAGUUCCAAAAGUAUGGGCACUAGAGAGCUUUCAGGCCGAUACUGCUUGAACCCUCUUACCUUUCUGGUAUGGUGAGAGAAGAAUGCAUAUAUUUCAUUAGCUUUUAUGCUGAUUCAAGCAGUAGUUGCUUUAAUACUUCAGAGUAGAAUUUGGUCAUAAUUUUAUAUGCACUGAGUGUAAUAUGCUAUAUUUUAUUAGAAUUAUCCUUUAAUAUUGUGCUGAAACCUUCCUUGUUCUAUCUCUGGAUUUUGGUACUGAUGAAUGUCUUUUUUUUUUUCAUGUGAAUCAAAUGGAUCCUUUUAAAGCUUUGUUAAAUUCAAAAUCAGAAUUAGAUUAAUGUCUCUAAAGAAAGGAUAAUAUUAUUUAACAAAAUUAAGGGGGAAUUUUGACUUUAUAAUAGAAAGUUAAUAUUUCAAAAAAAUAAAAAAGAUUGAUACUAAUCAAAUUAUAAAAAAAAGAAUUAAAUCAGUAAAAAAUGCGUAGUAUAAGACUUUCUAUAAUGUCUAAGGGAAUUUUAGAAUUUAUGGUGUUUAUGAAUUGAAUUAGACCUAUACCAUUAAUGGUAUAAUAUUAUGCAUGUAUAGUUGCUUAACAUGAAUCUUGAAAUUUAGUCAUCUAGGUUAAAAUAUGUCACAUAAUCAUUGUAUUUUUAUUUUUAGAAAAUUAGUUUUUUUUUUAAUAUUAAAUUUUAGAUUUAACUUUUAGAAAUUUAGUUUUUUUAUUUUUCAAAUAUUAAAUUUUAGAUUUAAAUUUUAGAAGUGUUAAAAUUAUUUUGUUAAAUUUAAGUCCAUUGUGUUAUUUUCUAGUUACAUGGUUAUAAAAGGUUUCAAAUUUUAACCAUUUUUUUUUCAAUUUUGGGAAUAAAAGUAUAAUGUUUAAAUUUAAAAUUUGGAAAGAGUACAGAGGCUUAUACACAUUUUAACUUAUUUUAUAAAUAGUUAAUGCAAUCUCGUUUGGGUUCAGGCUUCGAAUAUAAAAAUUUGAGUCCAACUUAUAUUUAAAUCAGAACUGUUUUUCUCCAAAUUUGAUUUUAUUUUUUUGUACAUAACGAAGGAAAAACUAAUGAAAGUUUUAUAAAUAGUUAAUGCAAUCUCGUUUGGGCUCAGGCUUUGAAUAUAAAAAUUUGAGUUCAACUUAUAUUUAAAUUGGAACUGUUUUUCUCCAAAUUUGUUUUUAUUUUUUUGUACAUAAUGAAGGAAAAACUAAUGAAAGCUUGCGAGGCACAUGUCGCCCGUUGCAAUGCUUCUCUUCUUAGUUUGUGGUGUCUAAUGGUGACGAAUUGGUGGAGAUUUUAGAUCUCUUUGAAUGCUGGUUUGAAGUUUCUACCCUGCUUUGGCACAUCCAAGAAUGAUGUUGAUCAAUUUUUUUUUGUCACUGUCCAACAGCCUCUAGGAAAAAAUAUUGUGAGACUUAAGGAACAAAGGAAUAACCUAGAGGAUAGGAAUUCUAAUUAGUAGCAGACAUAAAAUUUGGGAAGCAGCUGCUGGUUGAGUUUUAGUUUGACUGAUAUAAGUAUUGUUGUUAAUGUAAGAGGACGUAAAUUUAAAUGUGUUGAAACGCGCUAUUCUCCUACUUAUGGGUUGAGAAAGAAUCAUGAUUAGCAAUUAUAAUUUUAAUAUCUUUAUCCAAAAUAUGCUAAACUCUUGGAGUUGAAGUGAAUAGAAACAAAAAAUAAAAGAAAGCAGGAAAUAGAGGUGGGAAUAAAGGGGGCAAAAACGUGAAAUUGAAAGGAAGACCAUAUUUUUCAACAACCAAUGCUUUUUGUCGGGCUUUAGGCAUUAAAAAAAGGCAUCUCUCCAUCCAUGUGCACCUUCUCAGACCUCUAAAUUCUUCUACCCCAAAUGGCAAUGUGUUAUUUUAAUUUCAAGAAUUUUCAAAUCCAGUAACAUAUUUGAAUUUUGUUCUACAUGAUUUUAUCCUAUUCUUCUUAUAUUUAGAAUUUAACUUUUAUUUUUUUAAAAUUAUUUUUUUAUUUUUCAGAUUUCAAAAUCUAUAAUCAACUGUUAACAUCAUUAAAUUUAUUGGUGUGAUAUUUUUAAAAAAAAAUUACUUAAUAGCUAUGUAUUACAAAAAUAAUAUUGUAACGAACCUAAAUUUUAUAAAAAAUAAUUUUAAUAAUUAGAUUUAAAUUUUAAAUCUCAAAAGGCAGCCAAAAUAUCUUCACAAACUCUCCAAAAAUCUUAAAUUGUUACAAACAAUUCUAAAAACUCCGUAUCAACAACCACUAAUAUCUGUAAAAGUAGAUUCGAAUUAAAAAUUAUAUCCAAAUAUAUCAUUCAAAUUGUGUCCCAACCCACACUCAUGGCUGGAUAUCAUUAUGUUUUUACUUAUUAUUAAUAAUUAUAAUCACACUUUUAAGCCUAGUGCUCACUUUUCCCCCAUAAAUCAUGAACUAAAAUAUUGCAAUCCAUUGAUCUUCAAUCUUCAGUGUUGCCCAUCCAUCAUUUAUAUAUGUUAAUGCAGUUUUUGUCUACGUUUUUACUCUGGUUCUCUUUCAUCAUUCAUCUCUUACUUUGUAUUAUUUUGUAAAAUAAAUAAAUAAUUUUUGAUAAUUUCACAGCUAAAAUUGAUAGGUGAAACUAAUUCAGUUAAAUUCUACGCUAAUCAUGAGUUUUAAAGCUACUUCAUACUUAAAGGCGAGAUCAAAUCCUCAAUCAUUGAUUGUACGAGAAACAACUGCCAUUUCACCUAACCAAGUGAUUAACAUCUAGAUUAUUUUAUCAAUAUCUUAGUUCUUUCUUGUGCUAAACAGAUCAGCCUCCAUGAUCAUUAUUAUUGUUAUUAUUAUUACUAUUAUUAUUAUUUAAUCGUUAAUGUAAAUGCAAAAUAAAUCUUAAUUAGUAUCUAAUGAUAUCAAUUAAAUAGUUAAUAUUUUUAUGAUUCAUUAAAUUAUCUGCUUACUUUCUCUAUUUAAAAAUUUUAGUUUAAUUUUUUUUUGUUAAUUUUUGCUUAAUAAGGUAUGAUUUAAGGGUGAGGUGAAAAUUCUUUUUAAAUGGAUUAGAAUUUAAUUAUAAUGUUUAGAGUGUUAAAAUAUAAAUUUAAUAUUAAAUUAACUUAAAGAUUUUAUAAUUUUAAAAGAGCUAAAUUAUGUCAUUGUCUCUUGCAUUUAACUUCUAAUUGUGUUGAUACCACGAAUUAAUGUAACACUACUUCAAUUGUGAUAUUAUUUAAAUAUUAUUUUUAUACAAUGUGACAAAUAUUAAUACAAGUGCGUUUAGGGUUUAUGUGCCUCAAUAGCUAUAUUUUUCUUUUCGAAUUUUGAAAUUUCAAUCCUAACUCAAAUGAUAAUAAUUAAAUUUGCUAAGCUCAAUUUUGCUAUUAGUCUCAACUCUCGUAUUAUGUGUAAAUUGUGACUUUAGUCUCCAUAAUCUAAAUUUGAUAAUUUUGAGUCUAUAAUUUUCAAAUUUUAAAAUUUAAGUCAUUUAAAUGCAUUAGCAAUAAUGCAACUUUUUAUAUGUGAAAAUAACAAGUUAAAAUGAUAUUAUAUAUAUACUAGUAUAUUUUUCGCAUAAGAUUUUAAAAAGAACAAAUUUAACGUCUUAGUUUGAAUUGAAAUUUCAAAAUUAGAACGAAUUUAGUAUAGAAAAUUAAAAUCCAAGGACUAAUACAAGAAUUUGACAUAUUUUAAUAUAAAAAAUUAGAUAUAACGGAAGCUUAACAAGAUGGCAUUAUGGUAAAUAAGGGAAAAGAUUAAGGCCAAACAGAAAUAUGAGUGCGUUAUUUAACCGGCACAAAAGAGUCUAACCUGCACUUCACUGUAAUCAACAGCCAUGGCCGCCAUGGCUUCUUCUUCUUCUUCUUCUUCUUUUUCUUCUUCUUCUUCUUCUUCUUCUUCAUCUUCUUCCUCGUGUUAUGUUUGAAAAUCACUGCCAAAAAAACAUACAUUGUCCAAAUGAAACAUCAAGAUAAGCCACUUUCUUUCGAAACCCACCAUGAUUGGCACAGUUCGAGUUUACAAUCACUCACCGAUUCCCCACCCGAGUCACUUCUUUAUUCAUAUACUGAAGCUUUUAAUGGCUUCGCUGCUUCUCUAAAUGAAGAACAAGCUGAGUCUCUUAACAAAUCGGAAUCCAUUCUGGGUGUUUAUGAAGAUACUGUUUACACUCUCCAUACU
rnacentral:lncRNA from 1 species